AACAGGAGGAAUGAGGUUUAACACUUAAAUACUCCGGAUACUAGUACAUUGUGGCAAAACUCAAAUGGCAACGUAUUUACACUGAUACAUUCUUAUACUUACAGCUAUGCAUACACACACUUUCAUACUCACAUCCAUACACGAACCCCACCUUCAAUAGGUCUGAUCACAUACAAGGCCCCUGGUUUGGCCUCAUCUCCCUCACACUGGAGAGGCAAUCGAGGAGGCUACUUCCUUACAUCAAACUAGGCGUCGGUGCGGAGCUGAUGUGCUCUGGCAUUUCCAUCACAGAGCGUACUCUCCAAUUCUUACCCUCUCACUGUUAAUUCUCGUCCUCUGUCUACCUUGCGCCUUAUUUCUCUAUUUUUAUCUGUUUAUGUAGCCUAUCUUCCUUGGUCAUGCAUGUCUGUGAUAGAGACAGAGAUAAUAAGACUUUAUGGCAGACAACCGAGUUCUUAGAAUCAAAACAGCACUGUAGAACAGCGUGUAUAGUGUUAAUUGCAGUGUAGCCUAGAUUGCCUCUGGCUAUGUCAGAGGGAAUGUUUCUGUACUUGUAUCAGUACAUUUUAAGCUAAUAACAUAGACCUAACAAUUAUUGUAAAUGUGUGUUUACCUUGUGUUAUAAUAACCUAUGUAUAAUAUAAACGGUAGGACUGACUUCAUUCAUUAUAGGCUCCUGGUUGUAGUUAAUUACAUGUGAAAGCCCACAACAGCAUUGCUGUUAGAUGGCUUCAUUAAUUUAGUUAGCUAUACUAAAUUAAUAAUAGGCUAAAACUUGUCAUGUAUGGCUAGCUUUAUUCAAAAUAGCAGAACAUACCUGCCAGGCUACAAGUCAGCUCUCCCGCGCUGCCUCUCUUUACGCGAAAAUCGUCAUGCGGACUUGUGCCCUCGUGGAGAUUCAGUGCGGUGAAUAAAUAAUACUGAGGUAUUAAUUUUGUAUACUUCACUAGGCUAAAAGCAGCGUUUACUCGUUCAUUCGUGUCGGUCAACCACUGAAAACAUAAACGUGUCAAACUUUUGUCUGCCUCUUAUCCAUUUGGUGGAAUUUCAACCACGCUCCGGUCUCCGCGUCCCACGUCUCCUCCCAGUUCCCACCCCUCCUCGUGCACUUCUCCAAUCCCGCCUCUCAGUCACACAACAAGAGGAUAAUGGUGGUGUCUCGUUCCCUUAGCAACCAGUUGCUAUAGUAAUAUUCCUCGGUAAUUCAAAGUGUUGAUGAUGAUGAUGAAGAGUCCAGAUGUAUGACCACGACAGUUAGAUUAGGCUAGUUAUUCAAUCAAACACAUGUAUUUUACAAUUCGACCCUUAACCUAGGAAGAAACGUGUAUCUCAUAAACGUAUGUGUGCUGUUGCAGGUAGCCUACUCCAAAAAACAGAGGAUUCGCGAAAUCCACUUUUUGCAUAGUUGUAGGAGCUCCUCAGCAUUUUAGCUGCUGCACAUCUCGCAUUUCCCAACAACUUUACAGUAACUAGACGUUUGUUUCUAUGCGAAACGGCUGCGGCGCUUUUAGGAGUAGCCUUAGUUACAGCCCUUCCCGUACCGCGACCAAAAGAAAGCUCUACACACAUGCAAGAGGCAUUUCUCACUCAAUACCGAAAGUGGAUUGAAUCUUUUUCUGAAUAUUCUCUGUUUUUUGGAGUUCCACCUGCAACUGCACACAGGUGUUCAUACGAGACAUCGAAUCGAGAACAAAGAAAGUAUCGCCAAGGACAAGUAUGUGGAUGAGGAGGUUGGGCACCGGCCCUGUCUGGCUUUAAUCCCUUGGUCUGGACCUCUGUGGGUUCCCAGAUUUGCACAAUUGAGCAGCACAUUUUCAUCUCUCGUCCUGGCACGAUGGUAUGGGAUGAACUGUCCUUUCAGCUUGAAGAGGUAGACAUUCACCUGCAGGUUCAGCAGCAGCCCUGUCUGGCUUUAAUCUCUUGGUGUGGACCUCCGUGGGAUUCAAAUGCUCCUGUCAAACUGCAGCCAAUUUAUAACCUUCCCAUGCUGGGAGGAUGCUGGUGAGAGAGCUGGCAGUGCUAAACACACAGAUUUUCACAGUGGAGCAACCCGUUUAUUAUCUGUUUCACUCCUGCUAGGAGGAUGGUAUGGGAGGAACUGUCCGCUCAAAAUGAACAGUAUGUGGAUGAGGAGUUUGGACAGUGGACCUGUCUGGCUUUAAUCCCUUGGUCUGGACCCUUGUGUGUUCCUAUCUCCCCUGCCUUCUCCAAGGCCAAACCAGUCUACUACCUCACCCUUGCUGGGAGAAUGCUAGUAACAGAACUUGCAGUGUUAAACACACAGACUUCCAAAUUGGUUAUGGAGGAGCCUACCCUUCACCUUACUGAAGCUGGGAGGCUAGUGCUUGACGAACUGUCAGCACCUUCAGAUUGCCAUUCACAGCCAAAUAGUGAAGACUCCUUUUCCUUACGAGAAGUUGCAGCUGGUUGAGAACUGGGCAAAAUUAAGAGGACAUGCAUCACCUGUGCAUUGUGAGGGGAGUGGAGAAACAGCUGUGGUGGAGCAGAGUCAUCCAGGAAAACGUCCUGGACCCAUGGGUGGUCUUCAACAACAAGGAGGUGACUGGUAUUAAGGUGCAGUCAAGCACUUUCUCACUUUCAUUUCACAAAAGUGGCAAAUGUCCAUUUACCUAUUUGAAUAAAUACAUGUUGACAGAAAAUGAAAUGAUACAUUCUAAUCUCUUGCCUCAUUUUUAUUUCCUUGGUAGAAGGAUCCAUGGCCUUGUCAAGAGGAGGUCAGAGUUCACCUAUUAUGAGGACGCCCAGGUUUAUUUCAGAGUUUGGUUGAGGGGCUCUCAAUAUGGUGGUUUUCAGUGUUGGGCUUGCAGUGUCACAUGUUGUGUUAAACAGCACGUGGAUAUCUCCACCACGGUGGAGCGGUUCCAGGAGAGGGGGGAUGAGAUGAUGGCAUAUCAACUCUCUACCUCUGACAUCAUCACCACCCCUCAUGAGCCUUCCUUCCCCAAUGAUUCUCUGCCACCCCCUCCGCCUCCCCUUUUCCCUUGUUAUUCCCCUCCCAGUCCGCCUCCACCUUACCACUCCACCCAGGACCGGGACCAGGCCCCUGACAGCACUCCUCAGGUAAAACUCUUUCUACAGUCAAUAACCCUUUUUUUCAUUUGUACUUGUGUGUACAGGUGUGUCUAAGUGUCAUUAUUUUGGUAUUGACAGGUUUGUAUUGUCUGUCAAGGGUCAAGUUGUUAGGUCAAG
rnacentral:lncRNA from 1 species